rnacentral:rRNA from 1 species
UACAGAGGGUGCGAGCGUUGUCCGGAAUCACUGGGCGUAAAGGGCGCGUAGGCGGCCUUCUAAGUCGAACGUGAAAUCCCUGGGCUCAACCCAGGAACUGCGUCCGAUACUGGAAGGCUUGAAUCCGGGAGAGGGAUGUGGAAUUCCAGGUGUAGCGGUGAAAUGCGUAGAUAUCUGGAGGAACACCGGUGGCGAAGGCGACAUCCUGGACCGGUAUUGACGCUGAGGCGCGAAAGCCAGGGGAGCAAACGGG